rnacentral:snRNA from 8 species
AUACUUACCGGGCAAGGGAGAUACCGUGAUCAAGAAGGCGGUUCACCCAGGGCGAGGCUCAGCCAUUGCACUCCGGCUGUGCUGACCCCUGCGAAUUUCCCAAAUGUGGAAAUCUCGAUUGCAUAAUUUAUGGUAGUGGGGGACUGCGUUCGCGCUCGCCCCUG